rnacentral:lncRNA from 1 species
GAUAUGGAUGGUUUUGGGCUUCAACAAGAAACCUCAUGAGUGAUUUCAUGGCAUGGCCUCCUUCGAUAAGCCUGCGACAUGCAGAAAAAGAUCGAAGACUUCUAAGCGACAGACAGGCAUCUUAGAGCAGACGAUCGAAAGGGAAUCACAUUUUUGUGACCUUGUAUAGAUGUUGCCAUUCAUGAUAGACAUCUGGAUAUAUGCCAUGUGGGGCACCAAGUCCUCCAGGAGAUCAUCUAUGUGAAUUGAAUAAAUUCCUAGUUCUUCAGCAUGUUAAUGCCCAUGAUCAUGGCAAGUUUUGGUUUCUCAAAAUGAGAUGAAAUCCAGCAAUACAUUAUACAUCAUACAUAGGUCACAAUCAUUUCCACACAAUAGUGUGGAUGAGCUGCAUGAGAUGAGAUGACACUGUAUGUUACCAUUCGGAA